rnacentral:rRNA from 1 species
ACGCUGGCGGCGUGCCUAAUACAUGCAAGUAGAACGCUGAAGGAGGAGCUUGCUUCUCCGGAUGAGUUGCGAACGGGUGAGUAGCGCGUAGGUAACCUGCCUGGUAGCGGGGGAUAACUAUUGGAAACGAUAGCUAAUACCGCAUAAGAGUAGAUGUUGCAUGACAUUUGCUUAAAAGGUGCAAUCGCAUCACUACCAGAUGGACCUGCGUUGUAUUAGCUAGUUGGUGGGGUAACGGCUCACCAAGGCGACGAUACAUAGCCGACCUGAGAGGGUGAUCGGCCACACUGGGACUGAGACACGGCCUAGACUCCUACGGGAGGCAGCAGUAGGGAAUCUUCGGCAAUGGACGGAAGUCUGACCGAGCAACGCCGCGUGAGUGAAGAAGGUUUUCGGAUCGUAAAGCUCUGUUGUAAGAGAAGAACGAGUGUGAGAGUGGAAAGUUCACACUGUGACGGUAUCUUACCAGAAAGGGACGGCUAACUACGUGCCAGCAGCCGCGGUAAUACGUAGGUCCCGAGCGUUGUCCGGAUUUAUUGGGCGUAAAGCGAGCGCAGGCGGUUAGAUAAGUCUGAAGUUAAAGGCUGUGGCUUAACCAUAGUACGCUUUGGAAACUGUUUACCUUGAGUGCAAGAGGGGAGAGUGGAAUUCCAUGUGUAGCGGUGAAAUGCGUAGAUAUAUGGAGGAACACCGGUGGCGAAAGCGGCUCUCUGGCUUGUAACUGACGCUGAGGCUCGAAAGCGUGGGGAGCAAACAGGAUUAGAUACCCUGGUAGUCCACGCCGUAAACGAUGAGUGCUAGGUGUUAGACCCUUUCCGGGGUUUAGUGCCGCAGCUAACGCAUUAAGCACUCCGCCUGGGGAGUACGACCGCAAGGUUGAAACUCAAAGGAAUUGACGGGG